rnacentral:rRNA from 2 species
UUGACCUCGGAUCAGGUAGGAAUACCCGCUGAACUUAAGCAUAUCAAUAAGCGGAGGAAAAGAAACCAACAGGGAUUGCCUCAGUAACGGCGAGUGAAGCGGCAACAGCUCAAAUUUGAAAUCUGGCCUCACGGCCCGAGUUGUAAUUUGUAGAGGAUGUUUUGGGUACCGCCACGGUUUAAAUUUCUUGGAACAGAAUGUCAAAGAGGGUGAGAAUCCCGUCUUGGACCGCGGUAGGGCCUGUGUAAAACUCCUUCGACGAGUCGACUUGUUUGGGAAUGCAGGUCAAAAUGGGUGGUAAAUUUCAUCUAAAGCUAAAUAUUGGCCAGAGACCGAUAGCGCACAAGUAGAGUGAUCGAAAGAUGAAAAGCACUUUGAAAAGAGAGUUAAACAGUAUGUGAAAUUGUUGAAAGGGAAGCGCUGGCAACCAGACUCGUGCGCGGGGUUCCCCUCAGCUUCGGCUGGGGCUACUUCCCCGUGUCCGGGCCAUCAUCAGUUUUGGGGGCCGGUCAAAGGUUCCAGGAAUGUAUCCACGCCUUCGGGGGUGGACUUAUAGCCUGGGGCGUCAUGCGGCCACCCGGGACUGAGGAACGCGCUUCGGCGAGGAUGAUGGCGUAAUGGUUGUCAGCGACCCGUCUUGAAACACGGACCAAGGAGUCUAACAUCUAUGCGAGUGUUCGGGUGUCAAACCCUUGCGCGGAAUGAAAGUGAACGGAGGUAGGAAGGCUUUAGCCUGCACUAUCGACCGAUCCGGAUGUCUUCGGAUGGAUUUGAGUAAGAGCAUAGCUGUUGGGACCCGAAAGAUGGUGAACUAUGCGUGAAUAGGGUGAAGCCAGAGGAAACUCUGGUGGAGGCUCGCAGCGGUUCUGACGUGCAAAUCGAUCGUCAAAUUUGCGUAUAGGGGCG